rnacentral:rRNA from 1 species
AGCGAACGCUGGCGGCAGGCCUAACACAUGCAAGUCGAACGAACCUUUCGGGGUUAGUGGCGGACGGGUGAGUAAGACGUGGGAACGUGCCUUUAGGUUCGGAAUAACUCAGGGAAACUUGUGCUAAUACCGAAUGUGCCCUUCGGGGGGAAGAUUUAUCGCAUUUAGAGCGGCCCGCGUCUGAUUAGCUAGUUGGUUGAGGUAAUGGCUCACCAAGGCGACGAUCAGUAGCUGGUCUGAGAGGAUGAUCAGACACAUUGGGACUGAGACACGGCCCAAACUCCUACGCGAGGCAGCAGUGAGGAAUGUAGCACAAUGGGCUGAGGCCUGACGCAGCCAUGCCGGGAAAAUGAUGAAGUUCUUAGGAUUGUAAAGUUCUUUCACCGGUGACGAUAAUGACGGUACCCAGAGAAAAAGCCCCGGCUAACUUCGUG